GCUCCGGUGGUGUAGUGGUUAUCACUUCCGCUUUACACGCGGACGGCCGUGGGUUCGAUCCCCACCUGGAGCA